CCUACGGGGGGCUGCAGUGGGGAAUAUUGGACAAUGGGCGAAAGCCUGAUCCAGCCAUGCCGCGUGUGUGAAGAAGGCCUUCGGGUUGUAAAGCACUUUCAGUGGGGAAGAAAGCCUUGGGGCUAAUACCCUCGAGGAAGGACAUCACCCACAGAAGAAGCACCGGCUAACUCCGUGCCAGCAGCCGCGGUAAUACGGAGGGUGCGAGCGUUAAUCGGAAUUACUGGGCGUAAAGCGCGCGUAGGCGGUCUGAUAAGCCGGUUGUGAAAGCCCCGGGCUCAACCUGGGAACGGCAUCCGGAACUGUCAGGCUAGAGUGCAGGAGAGGAAGGUAGAAUUCCCGGUGUAGCAGUGAAAUGCGUAGAGAUCGGGAGGAAUACCAGUGGCGAAGGCGGCCUUCUGGACUGACACUGACGCUGAGGUGCGAAAGCGUGGGUAGCAAACAGGAUUAGAUACCCUGGUAGUC
rnacentral:rRNA from 1 species